rnacentral:tRNA from 1 species
GGGGCCAUAGCUCAGCUGGUAGAGCAUCUGUCUGGCAGACAGAAGGUCAGGGGUUCAAGUCCCCUUGGCUCCA